CCAAUGAUAUUUUUCCUUUUCUCCUGAGUCAUUCCCCUUUCUAAUGCAUGGCACAGCGUGAUUUAUAAGAAUUGGAAUGUCUUCUAGUGAUAUGUAGUGACAUACCAUUCAGCAAGGAAAAAGAAGUUUCAUCUUGUUAUUAUUCCAUAUUUCAUUUGGUUGGCUCAGUGAACCCUUGCAUAUAUAUUCAGAUGAAUGUGGAGAUAGAGUUAGCAACGGAACCAAAUGCAGAACGUUAAAAAUGAUCCGGAAAAGGUUUCAAAUUCUUCAUUUCUGCGACAAGAACUACGACCAGACGGGAAAAUGGCACCAGGUGAAUGAAUUGUAGUGACACUUAACUGUCAUGGAGAAGAAAGAAACAAAAGGAAGAGAAGAAACCUCUGGAAGCUUCAUCUGUGGUCUGAAAACCAAAGCUGUGCCUUUCCUGCUUUCUGCCUCAUCAGUCAUGAAGAUUUUGCAGGGACAGCUGAGUUGAUGCCAGUGCUGGACCUGACCUGAACUUAAUUACAGUCAAAGGUGGAACUCCAGCAGCUGAUAAAAUAAGCUAAUCUACUAACUUCAGUUAAAAUGAGUACUGGAAAGAAGAUUUCAGACCAAAAAAAAAAAAAAAAAAAAAAAAA